rnacentral:rRNA from 1 species
CUUUUACAAUGAAGAGUUUGAUCCUGGCUCAGGAUGAACGCUAGCUACAGGCUUAACACAUGCAAGUCGAGGGGCAGCAUUUCAGUUUGCUUGCAAACUGGAGAUGGCGACCGGCGCACGGGUGAGUAACACGUAUCCAACCUGCCGAUAACUCGGGGAUAGCCUUUCGAAAGAAAGAUUAAUACCCGAUGGUAUAAUCAGACCGCAUGGUCUUGUUAUUAAAGAAUUUCGGUUAUCGAUGGGGAUGCGUUCCAUUAGGCAGUUGGUGAGGUAACGGCUCACCAAACCUUCGAUGGAUAGGGGUUCUGAGAGGAAGGUCCCCCACAUUGGAACUGAGACACGGUCCAAACUCCUACGGGAGGCAGCAGUGAGGAAUAUUGGUCAAUGGGCGCAGGCCUGAACCAGCCAAGUAGCGUGAAGGAUGACUGCCCUAUGGGUUGUAAACUUCUUUUAUAUGGGAAUAAAGUUUUCCACGUGUGGAAUUUUGUAUGUACCAUAUGAAUAAGGAUCGGCUAACUCCGUGCCAGCAGCCGCGGUAAUACGGAGGAUCCGAGCGUUAUCCGGAUUUAUUGGGUUUAAAGGGAGCGUAGGUGGACAGUUAAGUCAGUUGUGAAAGUUUGCGGCUCAACCGUAAAAUUGCAGUUGAUACUGGCUGUCUUGAGUACAGUAGAGGUGGGCGGAAUUCGUGGUGUAGCGGUGAAAUGCUUAGAUAUCACGAAGAACUCCGAUUGCGAAGGCAGCUCACUGGACUGCAACUGACACUGAUGCUCGAAAGUGUGGGUAUCAAACAGGAUUAGAUACCCUGGUAGUCCACACAGUAAACGAUGAAUACUCGCUGUUUGCGAUAUACAGUAAGCGGCCAAGCGAAAGCAUUAAGUAUUCCACCUGGGGAGUACGCCGGCAACGGUGAAACUCAAAGGAAUUGACGGGGGCCCGCACAAGCGGAGGAACAUGUGGUUUAAUUCGAUGAUACGCGAGGAACCUUACCCGGGCUUAAAUUGCAUUUGAAUAUAUUGGAAACAGUAUAGCCGUAAGGCAAAUGUGAAGGUGCUGCAUGGUUGUCGUCAGCUCGUGCCGUGAGGUGUCGGCUUAAGUGCCAUAACGAGCGCAACCCUUAUCUUUAGUUACUAACAGGUCAUGCUGAGGACUCUAGAGAGACUGCCGUCGUAAGAUGUGAGGAAGGUGGGGAUGACGUCAAAUCAGCACGGCCCUUACGUCCGGGGCUACACACGUGUUACAAUGGGGGUACAGAAGGCAGCUACCUGGUGACAGGAUGCUAAUCCCAAAAGCCUCUCUCAGUUCGGAUCGAAGUCUGCAACCCGACUUCGUGAAGCUGGAUUCGCUAGUAAUCGCGCAUCAGCCAUGGCGCGGUGAAUACGUUCCCGGGCCUUGUACACACCGCCCGUCAAGCCAUGAAAGCCGGGGGUACCUGAAGUACGUAACCGCAAGGAGCGUCCUAGGGUAAAACUGGUAAUUGGGGCUAAGUCGUAACAAGGUAGCCGUACCGGAAGGUGCGGCUGGAACACCUCCUUUCU